GACGAACGCUGGCGGCGUGCUUAACACAUGCAAGUCGAACGGAAAGGCCCUGCUUUUGUGGGGUGCUCGAGUGGCGAACGGGUGAGUAACACGUGAGUAACCUGCCCUUGACUUUGGGAUAACUUCAGGAAACUGGGGCUAAUACCGGAUAGGAGCUCCUACUGCAUGGUGGGGGUUGGAAAGUCUCGGCGGUUGGGGAUGGACUCGCGGCUUAUCAGCUUGUUGGUGGGGUAGUGGCUUACCAAGGCUUUGACGGGUAGCCGGCCUGAGAGGGUGACCGGCGACAUUGGGACUGAGAUACGGACCAGACUCCUACGGGAGGCAGCAGUGGGGAAUAUUGCACAAUGGGCGGAAGCCUGAUGAAGAAGCGCUGCGUGCGGGAAGAAGGCCUUCGGGUUGUAAACCGCUUUCGCCUGUGACGAAGCGUGAGUGACGGUAAUGGGUAAAGAAGCACCGGCUAACUACGUG
rnacentral:rRNA from 1 species